rnacentral:rRNA from 1 species
GAAGCUGGAUUCGCUAGUAAUCGCGCAUCAGCCAUGGCGCGGUGAAUACGUUCCCGGGCCUUGUACACACCGCCCGUCAAGCCAUGGAAGCCGGGGGUAUCUGAAGUACGUAACCGCAAGGAGCGUCCUAGGGUAAAACUGGUAACUGGGGCUAAGUCGUAACAAGGUAGCCGUACCGGAAGGUGCGGCUGGAACACCUCCUUU